rnacentral:miRNA from 1 species
GUGCCCCGGUUCAUUUAAGCAGGGAGCGCGAGCGCCGCGUGCCGGCCGCGCCUCCAUGCGCAUGUGCGUGUUUCGGCCCGCCCCCGCGCCCCGCCCCACCAAUCGCCUGGCAAGCCGCCC